rnacentral:rRNA from 1 species
AGUGAACGCUGGCGGCAUGCCUUACACAUGCCAGUCGAACGGCAGCAUGGUCUCGCUUGCUACAUUGAUGGCGAGUGGCGAACGGGUGAGUAAUACAUCGGGACGUGCCCUGUUGUGGGGGAUAACUAGUCGAAAGAUUAGCUAAUACCGCAUACGACCUGAGGGUGAAAGUGGGGGCCCUCAAUGCCCCAUGCGCUAGGAGCGGCCCAGGUCUGAGUAGCUAGUUGUGGCGGUUCAUGCUCACCAAGGCGACGAUCAGUAGCUGUUCUGAGAGGACGAUCAGCCACACUGGGACUGAGACACGGCCCAGACUCCGACGGGAGGCAGCAGUGGGGAAUUCUGGACGAUGGGCGAAAGCCUGAUCCAGCAAUGCCGCGGGUGGGAAGAAGGCCUUCGGGUUGUAAAGCACUUUUGUCCGGAGAGAAAUGGAUCUGGUUAAUACCUGGGGUUGAUGACGGUACCGGAAGAAUAAGGACCGGCUAACUACGUG